CACGUAGGGCGCAAGCGUUGUCCGGAAUUAUUGGGCGUAAAGAGCUCGUAGGUGGUUUGUUACGUCUGCUGUGAAAACCUAGGGCUUAACCCCGGGCGUGCAGUGGAUACGGGCAGGCUGGAGGCAGGCAGGGGAGAACGGAAUUCCCGGUAUAGCGGUGAAAUGCGCAGAUAUCGGGAGGAACACCGGUGGCGAAGGCGGUUCUCUGGGCCUGUACUGACGCUG
rnacentral:rRNA from 1 species